rnacentral:rRNA from 1 species
UACAGAGGUGGCAAGCGUUAUCCGGAUUCACUGGGCGUAAAGCGCACGCAGGCGGCUCGGUAGGUAGGGCAUGAAAUCUCCUGGCAUAACUAGGAGACGCUGUCCUAAACCCCCGAGCUUGAGGAUGGGAGAGGGCAGUGGAAUUGCCGGUGUAGUGGUGAAAUGCGUAGAUAUCGAGAGGAACACCAGUGGCGAAGGCGAGUCCCUGGACAACACCUGACACUGAGGCACGAAAGCUAGGGGAGCAAACAGG